CCAGAGAACUUAGCAGAGAUGCUUUGGUGCCUUCGGGAACUCUGAGACAGGUGCUGCAUGGCUGUCGUCAGCUCGUGUUGUGAAAUGGUUGGGUUAAGUCCCGCAACGAGCGCAACCCUUAUCCUUUGUUGCCAGCGGCUCGGCCGGGAACUCAAAGGAGACUGCCGGUGAUAAACCGGAGGAAGGUGGGGAUGACGUCAAGUCAUCAUGGCCCUUACGGCCAGGGCUACACACGUGCUACAAUGGCGCAUACAAAGAGAAGCGACCUCGCGAGAGCAAGCGGACCUCACAAAGUGCGUCGUAGUCCGGAUUGGAGUCUGCAACUCGACUCCAUGAAGUCGGAAUCGCUAGUAAUCGUAGAUCAGAAUGCUACGGUGAAUACGUUCCCGGGCCUUGUACACACCGCCCGUCACACCAUGGGAGUGGGUUGCAAAAGAAGUAGGUAGCUUAACCUUCGGGAGGGCGCUUACCACUUUGUGAUUCAUGACUGGGGUGAAGUCGUAACAAGGUAAGCGUAGCGAG
rnacentral:rRNA from 1 species